AGCGAACGCUGGCGGCAGGCUUAACACAUGCAAGUCGAACGGGCGUAGCAAUACGUCAGUGGCAGACGGGUGAGUAACGCGUGGGAACGUACCUUUUGGUUCGGAACAACCCAGGGAAACUUGGGCUAAUACCGGAUAAGCCCUUACGGGGAAAGAUUUAUCGCCGAAAGAUCGGCCCGCGUCUGAUUAGCUAGUUGGUGUGGUAACGGCGCACCAAGGCGACGAUCAGUAGCUGGUCUGAGAGGAUGAUCAGCCACAUUGGGACUGAGACACGGCCCAAACUCCUACGGGAGGCAGCAGUGGGGAAUAUUGGACAAUGGGCGCAAGCCUGAUCCAGCCAUGCCGCGUGAGUGAUGAAGGCCCUAGGGUUGUAAGCUCUUUUGUGCGGGAAGAUAAUGACGGUACCGCAAGAAUAACGCCCCGGCUAACUUCGUGCCAGCAGCCGCCGUAAG
rnacentral:rRNA from 1 species